UUCACAUAAAACUUACAUUUUCAGAAUCAGCAUACUCCAAAUACAAACAUACGUCAAAAUCAUACAAAUUGGUCCAUUGGUUCAAAAGAUAGAUCGAAGUCCUUUGUGACCAAAUGAAGCAUGGCUUUUCUGCCCAAAACCAGUUCCACAGAGUCUUCUAUCCUGGAGAUAAUUGGGAAGUAAUCCAAUUAUCUCCAAGGACAGAGGCAAAACUCCAUUAAGCACAUGGCAGUAAAAAGACAGUAAAAUACAAUAAAAUACACAAGGUUAUAUUUAUUACAUAAAAUACAGACAUGCAAC